AGCGAACGCUGGCGGCAGGCUUAACACAUGCAAGUCGAACGCCCCGCAAGGGGAGUGGCAGACGGGUGAGUAACGCGUGGGAACAUACCCUUUCCUGCGGAAUAGCUCUGGGAAACUGGAAUUAAUACCGCAUACGCCCUACGGGGGAAAGAUUUAUCGGGGAAGGAUUGGCCCGCGUUGGAUUAGCUAGUUGGUGGGGUAAAGGCCUACCAAGGCGACGAUCCAUAGCUGGUCUGAGAGGAUGAUCAGCCACAUUGGGACUGAGACACGGCCCAAACUCCUACGGGAGGCAGCAGUGGGGAAUAUUGGAAAAUGGGCGCAAGCCUGAUCCAGCCAUGCCGCGUGAGUGAUGAAGGCCUUAGGGUUGUAAAGCUCUUUCACCGAUGAAGAUAAUGACGGUAGUCGGAGAAGAAGCCCCGGCUAACUUCGUGCCAGCCGCCGCCGUAAGAC
rnacentral:rRNA from 1 species